AACGAACGCUGGCGGCAUGCCUAACACAUGCAAGUCGAACGAGACCUUCGGGUCUAGUGGCGCACGGGUGCGUAACGCGUGGGAACCUGCCCUUAGGUUCGGAAUAACUCCCCGAAAGGGGUGCUAAUACCGGAUAAUGUCUUCGGACCAAAGAUUUAUCGCCUUUGGAUGGGCCCGCGUUGGAUUAGCUCGUUGGUAGGGUAAAAGCCUACCAAGGCGACGAUCCAUAGCUGGUCUGAGAGGAUGAUCAGCCACACUGAGACUGAGACACGGCCCAGACUCCUACGGGAGGCAGCAGUGGGGAAUAUUGGACAAUGGGCGAAAGCCUGAUCCAGCAAUGCCGCGUGAGUGAUGAAGGCCUUAGGGUUGUAAAGCUCUUUUACCCGGGAUGAUAAUGACAGUACCGGGAGAAUAAGCUCCGGCUAACUCCGUG
rnacentral:rRNA from 1 species